CCCACAAGCAUAGAUUACUCAGGAUGUUCUCUUUAGGCUCUCUUAACAUGAGAACCUUUAGCUUCUGAAAAAUCUGCAAUGCUACUCUGAGGUUGACAUUGAAAAGUAAGCACUUCUCAUAAUAUUAGCAUUGAAAAGUAAGGAUUUCUCAUAGUAAGAGAAAUGGCCCCAGAUCAAAUCUGUUGUUUUAUUUCAUCCUGGUAUUUUUCUUCUACGGAAUCUUCUUACCAAGCUCUGUGUGGCUUGGUUUUCUAACAAUUUCAGCCUAUUUCAGAAAGAUGAUGAGGAUGCAAACAAGAAGUAAUGCAAAAUUAGCCUACUAUGUUGCAUCCACAGGAGUGGAUUUCCCGUUUGCAUUAGGACUCCAUUAUUCACACCGUUAAAGACCAGUUAGCAGAUUAAUGCAUUAUCCCUCUAUGCUUCAAGCCCAUACUUAAUUUGUUUAGGUCAUUACCAACUUCCUUAUAACUGGCAUUUCCCUUUGGGUCUUAUACGUACAUCCUCAGGCAAUACCAUUUAACUCAUCAAUUCUUAGUCCUUUUUUUCCAAGUUCAAUUUUACUUUUAUCUGUAUUGCAUUUAACUCAGCUUUAGUAUGGCCGUUCAACAAGAAUGUUUUUGUAAUAAUAAAUUGAAUUGGGUUUAGUACACCAUGAAAAAUUGCUACAAAGUAUUCCCAAAGGAUUGCCUUACUUGGCAGGGUUGUAAUUCAGAAGGAUUUUUAAAAAUUGAUAAUAGAUGUUCAAAUUAUUACUCUUUAUAGCAUUGUUUUUCAAUACAACACAUCAAUUUUUAAAAUAUGUUAUUUCUGUCAGUGUUUAAUACAAAAACUCACCCAUUCUCACUGUAUGUAUAAGGUACACCACUGAUGUCCUAGUACAAAGUAGCACUGAUAUCUCAGGUGAGUGUUCCGAAAAUAAUGUCUAAGGAACCACAGGCUACUUGUUUUUGACUUAUGAGUCAAGGCUUCAUUCAGAACUUUUUUUUUUUUUUUUUUUUUUUUGAGACGGAGUCUUCCUCUGUCACCAGGCUACAGUGCAGUGGCAUGAUCUCGGCCCACUGCAACCUCUGCCUCCCAGGUUCAAGCGAUUCUCCUGACUCAGUCUCCCAAGUAACUGGGACUACAGGCACGUGCUACCACGCCCAGCUAAUUUUUGUAUUUUUAGUAGAGACGGGGUUUCACCAUGUUGGCCAGGAUGGUCUCGAUCUCUUGACCUCAUGAUCCACCCACUUCGGCCUCCCAAAGUGCUGGGAUUACAGGCGUGAGCCACCACACCCAGCCAGAACAUUUUUACUAGAAACUCUGUCCCUGUUUUCAAAUAGAUUCUGUUUUGAGAGUGGACAUCCCUGUCCUUUAUAUGCAAAUGCCCUCAACACCUGAACCAUCAAACAUAAAGGAGCAGAUAGCAAUUAAAGCUUGAAAAAGGAGUGUAUCUCAGCUGUUAGCUCAUCUAGUUAAAGAAUGAAAACAUCAAUCAAAUUAAUUACAAAGUAUCACAUGGUAAAAAAAAAAAAAAGAGAGAAGGUUUGGCAUGGAGAGAAGGACUCAACCCAUAGUAGUGUGUGUGUGUGUGAUUGAGCAGGACACACUGUUUGCAGAAUAGUAACAGGAAGAUAGCUGACAAAAGGGAUGUGUAAUUUACAGAAUUCCAGUCCUAGCAUCAGCAAGCAGAGUACAGAAGGGUGGAUUUGGAGUUGAAAGACAAUAGGCCAUCCGCCAAUCACAGGUUGCAUGAACAGAUAAAACAGAGAUGACUGGAUUGGUGAAGGAACACUGUUUUCAAGAAGGGUCAAUGAGUUGAGAAUGGUAUAAGGUAGAGUGUGGGAGGCUUCAUGUUUUGAAUAAGAUAAGCAUGUGCUUUAAGUUAAGGACCAAAAAUAUAUCAGGUUCUAAGGAACCCACCUAAUCAUACCAUGGAUAAAGGCUGGGGAAGGAAAGGUGAGUUACAGUUCUGUGCACAUCAAGGACAUGAUUCCAUGUAUUCUUGCUCAUUUGGACACCCUUGGAGUUAAUAGAUACGCAAUUCAGAAAGUCACAGGCCACAUCUCAGAAUUGUAUAUUUAAGAGGACCCCUAGCAACUCCCUAGACCAGUGCUACUCAAAUGAGAUUUUCUGACUUGUCCAUGAACUGUUUUCUACUAGCCCAUAACAAGCUAAUAAGCACAGCAAUUGCGAAUAAGCAUUGAUACACUUACGCUGAAAUUUGCCAGAAUAACAUUAUGUCUGUUGAAGCUAAUAAAAACUUGGGGCUUGUGUU
rnacentral:lncRNA from 1 species